UCUAGUCGAGCCAGGUUGUUGAGGUAGCAGUGGAGGAGAGCAGGGAGGAACAAUAAGCUGUAGACUUGAGUAUGGAUAUUGCAUAACUACGGCCACCUCUGAUCACCAGGGAGUCAAUCAAGAUAAACACAGAUGCAGGUGUAGAGGGAGAGCACAAUUUUCUGCUGGUAUAUUUUGAGUGAGAAAUUUACUGACUGUCAUGUCUCCAUGAUGUCUCCAUCUCUGCUGCUAUCAGUUAAUGAAGCCCAGUCUGGAGCGUGGAGAAGCACUAAACCAAUCUGCAGGACACACAUGAGGAGCAGAGGGGAUUUGUGGACAGCGAGGCACUCACAGGCAGUUAGCUCGGGGGCAUCGAGCUUCAGUUUGCGAUCUGAUAGUCUAUCUUUGACUCUAAAUACCAACUGGAAAAACCUAAAUAUGGUAAUAGAAUAUAUUGCCUUCAGAUUUACUGUGUGUUACAAGCGUGGGCACCAAGGAGGCAAGUUGCAGAAGUGUAAAAGCCAUCUUCAAUAGAGUUGGCAGUAAGACCUCUAAAACACAAGUGAAAAACGUUGAAGAUAGCUGGAGAGGAAUAUUCCCCUAAGGUGUCUGCAUUGCACCAAUAAGGAAGACGCCGAGCCCUGUUGGUGGAAGGUGCAGUGAGGUUCGCCGAAUUCCACACAAGCCCAUCAGUCUGAAUAUGACUUCUCCAGAGGGAGUGGAUCCCCCACACUCAGCCGAUGGCGGUGAGCUGUUUUUCUCUCUGGGGUUAAUUUGUGGCACCACAUCGUGAGACAUCAAUUCUUUCUGACGUGUUGUGUAGAGAAAAUAGGAACAUUUAAAGGCCUUUAUUUGUCAUCGUUUUUCCUCAGACAAAUUUAUUACCAGGGAGGUCGCUGGCCUUGAGACACCCAG